AUGAGAUUUUUGUUAAAGUUGGUUCAUGGGAAAUUGCACGUGAAAAGUGAAUUUACAGUGCAACAAGAAGAAAAGUGGGUGUUUCCAUCGAGUGGCCUCCGUACAGGAUUUUGUAUAAGAGAAUAUGAGCCUCACUGCUUCCGUGCCGCUCCGACGCUCUACUGGAAGCCGACUGCUCAGUCUGUCCGUUCCGCUUCGCGUCGUGCUGUCACCAUCUUCAUCCGUUCACCGUUCGUAAAGUAG